AGAAAUCGUUAAGGGCGUAUGGCGGAUGCCUAGGCUCACAGAGGCGAAGAAGGACGUGGUAAGCUGCGAAAAGCUACGGGGAUUAGCACACAUGAGAUGAUCCGUAGAUAUCCCAAUGGGGCAACCCGGUAUACUGAAGGUAUAUCACUCGAAAGAGGGCAAACCCGGAGAACUGAAACAUCUAAGUACCCGGAGGAAAAGAAAUCAAAAGAGAUUCCCAGAGUAGCGGCGAGCGAAAUGGGAGUAGCCGAGAUUGUAUGAAUAUUAGAAUAACCUGGAAAGGUUAACCAAAGAAGGUGAUAGUCCUGUAUAAGAAAUGAGUAUAAUACGUAUUAAGUAGGGCGGGACACGAGAAAUCCUGUUUGAAGAAAGGGGGACCAUCCUCUAAGGCUAAAUACUCCUGUGAGACCGAUAGUGAACUAGUACUGUGAAGGAAAGGUGAAAAGCACUUUGAAUAAAAGGGUGAAAGAGAACCUGAAACCGUACGCCUACAAGCGGUCGGAGCAUUGUAAGAUGUGACGGCGUGCCUUUUGCAUAAUGAGCCUACGAGUUACUGUUGCUGGCGAGGUUAAGGAUUUAAGAUUUGGAGCCGGAGCGAAAGCGAGUCUGAAAAGGGCGCUUAGUCAGUAGGAGUAGACGCGAAACCUUGUGAUCUACCCAUGGGCAGGUUGAAGCUGUGGUAACACACAGUGGAGGACCGAACCCGUUGACGUUGAAAAGUCUUGGGAUGACCUGUGGGUAGGGGUGAAAGGCCAAUCAAACUGGGAAAUAGCUCGUACUCCCCGAAAUGUAUUUAGGUACAGCGUUAUGACAAGUUUACUGGAGGUAGAGCUACUGAUAGGAUGCGGGGGAUUCAACUCCUACCAAUUCCUGACAAACUCCGAAUGCCAGUAAAUGUUUCAUAGCAGUGAGGGCAUGGGUGCUAAGGUCCAUGUCCGAGAGGGAAAGAACCCAGAAUAUCAGCUAAGGUCCCAAAAUGUAUGUUAAGUUGAUUAAACGCGGUUGGAUUGCAUAGACAGCUAGGAUGUUGGCUUGGAAGCAGCCAUUCAUUUAAAGAGUGCGUAACAGCUCACUAGUCGAGCGAUCCGGCAUGGAUAAUGAUCGGGCAUAAACAUACUACCGAAGCUAUAUCAUCUGUAAAGAUGGGUAGGGGAGCAUUCUAUACUGGGUAGAAGCGGUGUUGUAAGGCAUUGUGGACUGUAUAGAAAAGAAAAUGUAGGCAUAAGUAACGAUAAUGCGGAUGAGAAAUCCGCACGCCGCAAGACUAAGGGUUCCUCAGCUAUGCUAAUCAGCUGAGGGUUAGUCGGGGCCUAACGCGAACCCGAGAGGGGUAGUGGAUGGACAACAGGUUAAUAUUCCUGUACUUGCUCACAAAGAAAGUGACGGUUUUCCCAGAUGUUUACGUACUGACGGAAUAGUACGUUGAGCCUAGACUUCGGUCGAAGCGAAGACAAGUAAGAAGAUCCAAGAAAUAGCGAGUGAAGCAACCCGUACCGUAAACCGACACAGGUAGUCGAGGAGAGUAUCCUAAGGCGCUCGAGUGAAUCAUGGCUAAGGAACUAGGCAAAAUGGUCUCGUAACUUCGGGAGAAGAGACGCCCCCCUAUGGGGGGCCGCAGUGAAGAGGCCCAGGCGACUGUUUAUCAAAAACACAGGACUCUGCAAAAUCGAAAGAUGAAGUAUAGGGUCUGACACCUGCCCGGUGCUGGAAGGUUAAGGAAGGAAGUUAGCUUUUAGCGAAGCUUUUGACUGAAGCCCCAGUAAACGGCGGCCGUAACUAUAACGGUCCUAAGGUAGCGAAAUUCCUUGUCGGGUAAGUUCCGACCUGCACGAAUGGUGUAACGAUCUGGGCACUGUCUCAGCCAUGAGCUCGGUGAAAUUGUAGUAUCGGUGAAGAUGCCGGUUAAUCGCAAUGGGACGAAAAGACCCUGUGAACCUUUACUAUAGCUUCGUAUUGACUUCGGGUAAACAAUGUGUAGGAUAGGUGGGAGACUACGAAGGGGCAUCGCUAGGUGUUCUGGAGUCGUCCUUGAAAUACCACCCUUUGUUUACUUGGAGCCUAAUCCCGAUAACUAUCGGGAGACAUUGCGUGGUGGGUAGUUUGACUGGGGUGGUCGCCUCCGAAAGGGUAACGGAGGCUUUCAAAGGUAUCCUCAGCACGCUUGGUAACCGUGCGUAGAGUGUAAUGGCAUAAGGAUGCUUGACUGUGAGACUUACAAGUCGACCAGGUGCGAAAGCAGGACAUAGUGAUCCGGUGGUUCCGUAUGGAAGGGCCAUCGCUCAUAGGAUAAAAGGUACUCCGGGGAUAACAGGCUAGUCUCCCCCAAGAGCUCACAUCGACGGGGAGGUUCGGCACCUCGAUGUCGGCUCGUCACAUCCUGGGGCUGGAGAAGGUCCCAAGGGUUGGGCUGUUCGCCCAUUAAAGUGGCACGCGAGCUGGGUUCAGAACGUCGUGAGACAGUUCGGUCUCUAUCUAUUGCGAUCGUUAGAAGUUUGAGUGGGCUUGACUCUAGUACGAGAGGACCGAGUUGAACGAACCGCUAGUGUAUCUGUUGUCUCGCCAGGGGCAUUGCAGAGUAGCUACGUUCGGUUAAGAUAAGCACUGAAGGCAUAUAAGUGCGAAACUUGCCACAAGAUGAGACUUCUUUUAAGGGCCGUGGAAGACGACCACGUUGAUAGGCUACAGAUGUAAAGACAGCAAUGUCAUAGUCGAGUAGUACUAAUUACCCGUAGAUUUGAAC
rnacentral:rRNA from 1 species